CCCAGUUCAUCUGAUUGCAGAGUUUGUGCCCGGAACUUGGCACUGGACGUUUUCCUGACCAUGGCUCUUUUAUCAUGUUUAUUUUUCUUUGUUGGGUUUGACCUAUUUAUCGUGUGCCUCUCCUUCAAGACUUGGAACUUCUUAAAGACAAGCCAAGGAGUGACAGCAGGACAAGAGCUGCUAUCGUAAGACACCGGUGGACAUACUCGCAUCAGUGCAGUGGGGCCAAAGCUGGUCUGUAGGAAGCGAGAGAGGAGAGGCCCCCAGCUCUCUACAAGGACCCGAGACUCCGUGCUCUGGUUUCCCUUCUCCCUCUCCGUCUUCGACCUGGGAGUGGUGUUGAAGAUGGCUUGGAAGAAGUGGAGCUUGAAGUCGCUUCAGACUGCUGGAAGGGAUGUCAUACUUCAACAAAAAGCUUACUUUAAAAAGAAGCCAUGGGGUGGCUGGCCCCGUGGCCGAGUGGUUGGGUUUGCACGCUCUGCUGCAGGCAGCCCAGUAUUUCAUUGGUUUGAAUCCUGGGCACAGACAUGGCACUGCUCAUCAAGCCACACUGAGGCGGCAUCCCACAUGCCACAACUGGAAGGACCCUCAACGAAGAAUAUUCAACUAUGUACUGGGGGGCUUUGGGGAG
rnacentral:lncRNA from 1 species